UACAGGGGGUGCAAACGUUGCUCGGAAUCAUUGGGCGUAAAGAGCUCGUAGGCGGUUUGGCAAGUCGGGUGUGAAAUCUCCGGGCUCAACUCGGAGAGGCCACUCGAUACUGCUAUGACUAGAGUCCGGUAGGGGACUAUGGAAUUCCUGGUGUAGCGGUGAAAUGCGCAGAUAUCAGGAGGAACACCGGUGGCGAAGGCGGUAGUCUGGGCCGGUACUGACGCUGAGGAGCGAAAGCGUGGGGAGCGAACAGG
rnacentral:rRNA from 1 species